GGAAUAGGCACGCACUUGUCCACAGUUAAGCUGCAACAUUUGCAAUGAACCAAGGUCACCCCAUGCACCUGCUCUCCUGAGCCCUUUUCUGGAGAACACGGUGUGACUUGAGAUUAUCAGAAUUAUGUUCGCGCAGGUAGGGGAAACUAAAACAUGUAAACUCGACAUGCCUUUUACUAUUCG